rnacentral:lncRNA from 1 species
UCAUCAUCUUGAAGCUCUUCCUCUCUUCUCAACAUGUUUUCAUUUUCUGCGGUGGCAAAUCGUUCCAUCUUCUCUUGGAGGCUUUGCAAAGAAAUUGCCAAUGUCUCCAUCAUCUUCUCAAGACGCUGAUUAUUCUGGUAGUUGUUAGCCUCUGUAUAACUGAAGUCUAGAUGGUCUCCCCAAUUUGAAUUGUAUGUGUCAUAGUAGGGAUCAUGUCUUGGCUGUUCAUAGAAUCCUUCAAAUGCAUGUACUUGUUGGUUCCUUGCAUAACCAUAAUUCGGAUGGUCUCUCCAAUAUGGAUUGUAUGUAUUAUGGUAGGGAUCAUGUCUUGGCUAUUCAUAGAAUCCUCCAUAUGCAUGAACUGGUUGGUCAUCCUCAUAAAGUGUAGGACAUUGGGACGUUAGAUAUCCCACAUAUCCACAGAUCUUACAUGGUUGAGACUGCUGAAGUCGUCGCUCCUGUAGAGCUAUGACAUAGCUUUCCACAAUAGAGGUUAGGUCAGAAAUUUGAGAAAGGGGUUAUAUGUACUUACCUCAUCCAUGAAUCAAUUCUGCGAU